GGGAUUAGAUACCCCACUAUGCUUAGCCCUAAACAUAAAUAUUCAACUAACAAGACUAUUCGCCAGAGUACUACUAGCCAUAGCUUAAAACUCAAAGGACUUGGCGGUGCUUUAUAUCCCCCUAGAGGAGCCUGUUCUAUAAUCGAUAAACCCCGCUAUACCUUACCACCUUUCGCAUAUCAGCCUAUAUACCGCCAUCUUCAGCAAACCCUAACGAAAGUUUCACAGUAAGCAUAAUAAUAUUACAUAAAAACGUUAGGUCAAGGUGUAGCCUAUAAGGUGGAAAGCAAUGGGCUACAUUUUCUACUUCCAGAAUAGCAACUACGAUAACUUCCAUGAAACUGAAAGUCUAAGGCGGAUUUAGUAGUAAGCCAAGAAUAGAGAGCCUGGCUGAAUGGCUUA
rnacentral:rRNA from 1 species